AGAGUUUGAUCCUGGCUCAGAUUGAACGCUGGCGGCAGGCCUAACACAUGCAAGUCGAGCGCGAAAACACUUCGGUGUGAGUAGAGCGGCGGACGGGUGAGUAAUGCUUGGGAAUCUGCCCAAUAGUGGGGGAUAACGUGUGGAAACGCACGCUAAUACCGCAUACGUCCUACGGGAGAAAGCAGGGGAUCUUCGGACCUUGCGCUAUUGGAUGAGCCCAAGUCAGAUUAGCUAGUUGGUGGGGUAAUGGCUCACCAAGGCGACGAUCUGUAGCUGGUCUGAGAGGAUGAUCAGCAACACUGGGACUGAGACACGGCCCAGACUCCUACGGGAGGCAGCAGUGGGGAAUCUUAGACAAUGGGCGCAAGCCUGAUCUAGCCAUGCCGCGUGAGUGAAGAAGGCCUUAGGGUCGUAAAGCUCUUUCGCCAGGGAUGAUAAUGACAGUACCUGGUAAAGAAACCCCGGCUAACUCCGUGCCAGCAGCCGCGGUAAUACGGAGGGGGUUAGCGUUGUUCGGAAUUACUGGGCGUAAAGCGCACGUAGGCGGAUUAGAAAGUUAGAGGUGAAAUCCCAGGGCUCAACCCUGGAACUGCCUUUAAAACUCCUAGUCUUGAGUUCGAGAGAGGUGAGUGGAAUUCCAAGUGUAGAGGUGAAAUUCGUAGAUAUUUGGAGGAACACCAGUGGCGAAGGCGGCUCACUGGCUCGAUACUGACGCUGAGGUGCGAAAGUGUGGGGAGCAAACAGGAUUAGAUACCCUGGUAGUCCACACCGUAAACGAUGAAG
rnacentral:rRNA from 1 species